CGCGUCUUAGCAUGCAAGUCGGGCGGCAAGGGGUAGCAAUUACCUUCCUUAGUAGCGGCGGUACUGGUGAGUAACGCGUGGGUGACCGGUCUUAAGGAUGGGGAUAGCCGUUAGAAAUAGCGGGUAAUACCGAAUACGCUUGAGUAACCGAGGUUAUGCAAGGAAAGGGGCGUUAGCCCCGCCUUUAGACGGGCCCGCGUCCUAUUAGGCAGUUGGCGGGGUAAAGGCCCACCAAACCCGAGAUAGGUAGCCGGCCUGAGAGGGUGAACGGCCACACUGGGACUGAGAUACGGCCCAGACUCCUACGGGAGGCAGCAGCUAAGAAUAUUCCGCAAUGGGGGAAACCCUGACGGAGCGACGCCGCGUGGAUGAGGAAGGCCGAAAGGUUGUAAAGUCCUUUUGCGGAUGAAGAAUAAGCGGUGGAGGGAAUGCCGCCGUGAUGACGCAAGUCUGUGAAUAAGCCCCGGCUAAUUACGUGCCAGCAGCCGCGGUAACACGUAAGGGGCGAGCGUUGUUCGGAAUUAUUGGGCGUAAAGGGCGCGUAGGCGGCCUGAUAAGUCCGGCGUGAAAUGGCGCGGCUCAACCGCGUCACUGCGCUGGAAACUGUAAGGCUUGGGUCACGGAGGGGCAGUUGGAAUUCCUGGUGUAGGGGUGAAAUCUGUAGAUAUCAGGAAGAACACCGGCAGCGAAGGCGAACUGCCAGCCGAUGACUGACGCUGAGGCGCGAAAGUGCGGGGAGCAAACAGGAUUAGAUACCCUGGUAGUCCGCACUAUAAACGAUGUGCACUAGUGUUGGGCCGAGCGGCUCAGUGCCGGAGCGAACGCGAUAAGUGCACCGCCUGGGGAGUAUGCCCGCAAGGGUGAAACUCAAGGAAUUGACGGGGGCCCGCACAAGCGGUGGAGCAUGUGGUUUAAUUCGAUGAUACGCGAGGAACCUUACCUGGGUUUGACAUGGUGGCGGAUGCGCUAGAGAUAGAGCAGCCCGCAAGGGACGCCAUUACAGUGC
rnacentral:rRNA from 1 species